rnacentral:rRNA from 1 species
UAAGUAACGAUAAAGCGGGUGAAAAGCCCGCUCGCCGGAAGACCAAGGGUUCCUGUCCAACGUUAAUCGGGGCAGGGUGAGUCGACCCCUAAGGCGAGGCCGAAAGGCGUAGUCGAUGGGAAACAGGUUAAUAUUCCUGUACUUGGUGUUACUGCGAAGGGGGGACGGAGAAGGCUAUGUUGGCCGGGCGACGGUUGUCCCGGUUUAAGCGUGUAGGCUGGUUUUCCAGGCAAAUCCGGAAAAUCAAGGCUGAGGCGUGAUGACGAGGCACUACGGUGCUGAAGCAACAAAUGCCCUGCUUCCAGGAAAAGCCUCUAAGCAUCAGGUAACAUUAAAUCGUACCCCAAACCGACACAGGUGGUCAGGUAGAGAAUACCAAGGCGCUUGAGAGAACUCGGGUGAAGGAACUAGGCAAAAUGGUGCCGUAACUUCGGGAGAAGGCACGCUGAUAUGUAGGUGAAGUCCCUCGCGGAUGGAGCUGAAAUCAGUCGAAGAUACCAGCUGGCUGCAACUGUUUAUUAAAAACACAGCACUGUGCAAACACGAAAGUGGACGUAUACGGUGUGACGCCUGCCCGGUGCCGGAAGGUUAAUUGAUGGGGUUAGCGGUAACGCGAAGCUCUUGAUCGAAGCCCCGGUAAACGGCGGCCGUAACUAUAACGGUCCUAAGGUAGCGAAAUUCCUUGUCGGGUAAGUUCCGACCUGCACGAAUGGCGUAAUGAUGGCCAGGCUGUCUCCACCCGAGACUCAGUGAAAUUGAACUCGCUGUGAAGAUGCAGUGUACCCGCGGCAAGACGGAAAGACCCCGUGAACCUUUACUAUAGCUUGACACUGAACAUUGAGCCUUGAUGUGUAGGAUAGGUGGGAGGCUUUGAAGUGUGGACGCCAGUCUGCAUGGAGCCGACCUUGAAAUACCACCCUUUAAUGUUUGAUGUUCUAACGUUGACCCGUAAUCCGGGUUGCGGACAGUGUCUGGUGGGUAGUUUGACUGGGGCGGUCUCCUCCUAAAGAGUAACGGAGGAGCACGAAGGUUGGCUAAUCCUGGUCGGACAUCAGGAGGUUAGUGCAAUGGCAUAAGCCAGCUUGACUGCGAGCGUGACGGCGCGAGCAGGUGCGAAAGCAGGUCAUAGUGAUCCGGUGGUUCUGAAUGGAAGGGCCAUCGCUCAACGGAUAAAAGGUACUCCGGGGAUAACAGGCUGAUACCGCCCAAGAGUUCAUAUCGACGGCGGUGUUUGGCACCUCGAUGUCGGCUCAUCACAUCCUGGGGCUGAAGUAGGUCCCAAGGGUAUGGCUGUUCGCCAUUUAAAGUGGUACGCGAGCUGGGUUUAGAACGUCGUGAGACAGUUCGGUCCCUAUCUGCCGUGGGCGCUGGAGAACUGAGGGGGGCUGCUCCUAGUACGAGAGGACCGGAGUGGACGCAUCACUGGUGUUCGGGUUGUCAUGCCAAUGGCACUGCCCGGUAGCUAAAUGCGGAAGAGAUAAGUGCUGAAAGCAUCUAAGCACGAAACUUGCC